rnacentral:rRNA from 1 species
AGCGAACGCUGGCGGCAGGCCUAACACAUGCAAGUCGAACGACACCUUCGGGGUAAGUGGCGGUCACGUGAGUAACGCGUGGGACCGUGCAUUUAGGCAUGGAAUACCACAGGUUCACUUGUGCUAAUACAGAAAGUGCUACUCGGGGGAAAGAUUUAUCGCAUUUAGGGCGGCCCGGGUCCGAUUAGCUAGUUGGUUGAGGUUAUGGCGCACCCAGGCGACGAUCAGUAGCUGGUAUAGGCGGAUGAACAGCCACAUUGGUACUGAGACACGGCCGAAGCACCUACGGGAGGCAGCGGUGGGGAGUCUUGCGCAAUGGGCGAAAGCCUAGCGCAGCCAUGCCGCGUGAAGGAUGAAUGUCGUAGGAUUGAAAAAGUCUUUCACCGGGGAGGAUAAUGGCGGUACCCGGAGAAGAAGGCCCGGCUAACUUCGGU